GACGAACGCUGGCGGCGUGCUUAACACAUGCAAGUCGAACGGAAAGGCCCUGCUUUUGUGGGGUGCUCGAGUGGUGAACGGGUGAGUAACACGUGAGUAACCUGCCCUUGACUUUGGGAUAACUUCAGGAAACUGGGGCUAAUACCGGAUAGGAGCUCCUGCUGCAUGGUGGGGGUUGGAAAGUUUCGGCGGUUGGGGAUGGACUCGCGGCUUAUCAGCUUGUUGGUGGGGUAGUGGCUUACCAAGGCUUUGACGGGUAGCCGGCCUGAGAGGGUGACCGGCCACAUUGGGACUGAGAUACGGCCCAGACUCCUACGGGAGACAGCAGUGGGGAAUAUUGCACAAUGGGCGGAAGCCUGAUGCAGCAACGCCGCGUGCGGGAUGACGGCCUUCGGGUUGUAAACCGCUUUCGCCUGUGACGAAGCGUGAGUGACGGUAAUGGGUAAAGAAGCACCGGCUAACUACGUG
rnacentral:rRNA from 1 species